rnacentral:rRNA from 1 species
CUUCCGUAGGUGAACCUGNGGAAGGAUCUUAU